rnacentral:lncRNA from 1 species
GAGGUAUAAUAGAUUUUUCUUAUUCUAGUAGAUCUUUAAAGAGUUGUCCCUUAAUUCACUUAUGGCGGUGGUUGGAUAGUUGUCUCUUCAACAAUAGCAAUAUCAUAGGGUGGAUCUUGAUAAAGUAGUGGUUCCUCCUAAAAGUUAUCUUGAGAAAUAUGAACAGAAAUUAUUACCUCCAUUUGCUUCUCAGAUAUAGAGAUUGUUUUCUUUAUUUUCUUAAAGAUGAUGUCUCAAAGUUCUC